CAGCGUCCUGUCUCUGAAAGGCUCGGGGAGGAGUAAACAAUUUGGGUGGGGUGUGCAGUUUUGCCGGCUUGCUUAGCAUUUGGGCCUUUCCCCCAGGCUUGGUCAUGGUGGUUUGUUUAAAAUUAGUUCUUGUUUGGCCUGUGGGGGAAGAGUGAAUUGCAGAGUCUGGGAUUUACUCUGAGCCUUUUGCAUUUUAGGUUCUGAGGCUGGAUCACUUGGUUAUUUUAAAAGUGGACAGACAUGAGCCCAGGACUACCAUGUGACCAAAUCUCUGUCCUCCUGGUCAGAACUGGCUAGAAGCUGACACUGAGCCGAGAAGCCGUCACCCUAGUCCAAUCUGGGAAGGAUCUCCCCUGUUCCAAAUAGAGCUCCCUGCCUCCCAUGCUGAGAUGCCCCCCCCCCCAGUGUUCCCAGAGAGUUGUCCCUUUCAGGAAUGACCUGCCAGCAGCUGUCCCUUUGCAAAAGUGUCGUUUCAAAGUUGCCACUGACCCUGGGCCUAUGCGGACAUUUAAUGUCAUUGUCAGGACUAAUUGGUGUCUCCUCAAGCAGGGUCACCGUGGAACAAGAUGCAGGAUCGGAUUUCAUGUUUGAAGCUGCUACAGACAAAUGGCGACCAUUAGGGAAAGCCAAGAGACUUUGAGAGAAGCCAACUAUUGAGCUUCUGAAUUAAUCCUUCCUGGAGCCGCCUACCUCAUGACUUCUUGAGGUGUCCCUACUGUUUAAAGCACUUUCGUUACUUGAUUCCAAAAAAUAUUCCACUGAUAUACUUUGCAAUAUUAAUUCAGAAGAAAAUAAAUGCAAAUGAGAUUUAGUCUUUAUAUCUUUUUUGGUCCUGAGUGAAAGGUAAUGUAGUGGGCAAAAAGUCAAUUGUACUUUUUGUAACUCUAGUCGCCAUCAUGUAAGAAAGGCAAUUUAACACCCCUUGCCCCCAACACACUCCAUUCUUGAGGCUGAUAUAUUGGACUUUCCAAGUAUUGGUUGUGUCACCAUUUCUGUAAGUAAAAAAUUGAUGAAUGAUCCAAGAGACCCAG
rnacentral:lncRNA from 1 species